rnacentral:rRNA from 1 species
UACGUAGGGUGCGAGCGUUGUCCGGAAUUACUGGGCGUAAAGAGCUCGUAGGUGGUUUGUCGCGUUGUCCGUGAAAACUCACAACUCAAUUGUGGGCGUGCGGGCGAUACGGGCAGACUGGAGUACUGCAGGGGAGACUGGAAUUCCUGGUGUAGCGGUGAAAUGCGCAGAUAUCAGGAGGAACACCGGUGGCGAAGGCGGUUCUCUGGGAAUAUCCUGACGCUGAGGAGCGAAAGUGUGGGGAGCAAACAGG